UCCCUGGUGUCUCAGCUGGUAAAGAAUCCACCUGCAAUGUGGGAGACCUGGGUUCGACCCCUGGGUUGGGAA
rnacentral:tRNA from 1 species